rnacentral:tRNA from 1 species
GCCGGAGUGGCGGAAUUGGUAGACGCGCUAGCUUCAGGUGUUAGUGUCCUAUGGACGUGGGGGUUCAAGUCCCCCCUUUCGCACCA